GAUGAACGCUGGCGGCAGGCUUAAUACAUGCAAGUCGAGGGGCAGCAUGACUGUAGCAAUACAGUUGAUGGCGACCGGCAAACGGGUGCGGAACACGUACAGAACCUUCCUUCGAGCGGGGAAUAGCCCAGAGAAAUUUGGAUUAAUACCCCAUAGUACAACGGAGUGGCAUCACUUUGUAAUCUAAGAUUUAUCACUUGAACGUGGCUGUGGGGCUGAUUAGGUAGUUGGCGGGGUAACGGCCCACCAAGCCUGCGAUCAGUAACUGGUGUGAGAGCACGACCAGUCACACGGGCACUGAGACACGGGCCCGACUCCUACGGGAGGCAGCAGUAAGGAAUAUUGGUCAAUGGACGAAAGUCUGAACCAGCCAUGCCGCGUGGAGGAUGAAGGUCCUCUGGAUUGUAAACUUCUUUUAUAUGGGACGAAAAAAGGCUUUUCUAAGUCGUCUGACGGUACCAUAUGAAUAAGCACCGGCUAACUCCGUGCCAGCAGCCGCCGUAAUAC
rnacentral:rRNA from 1 species